UCAGGGUCGACGGUCUACACACGUGCUUCCCGCGGGGCUGUCGGCGGCAGCUGACUUUCUCACAGGCUGCAUGUCAUUACGGAGCUAUGCGUAACACAAACAAUUCCUCGCUCCCAGAGUGUUUAUCUCGUGGCACAGAGCACGGUGUGCCCACACAUCAAAGUCGGAGGGAACAGACGCUGCUCAGCGGCAGCAGCUGCGCUCGGAUCCUGUCCACACCCUUCCUGUUUGCCGCGGUCUACCUUGGGGCUGUUAUUUUCCCAACAGAGCGACGAUAACCCCCCUCUGCCUCACUCCCUUCACCGGCUUCAACAGCACCACCGACCGCUGCGGACACCGCAGCAGCAGCAGCAGCCGCCGCUCGCAUUCUCCAGCUCCGGGUCAAGACCCUCAUAACGCCGUUUCCUCAGUCGGAAUGGCCCAUGCAGUUUUCUCUGUGAGAGAGAGGCCGAUUGAGUCUCCAGCUGCCAUCACACAAAAACAUCUUCACAGGCGUGCGGCAGCAGCAACCAUGUUUAUCUUCUGGCAGAUGGGAUGGCAAGCCAAUCAGCAUAAUGUAUUUCUUGGACACCAGUGAGAUGAACUAAUGGAACAGGAGGCACAUAUAGACUGACUGGGGGCGUCCAGGGCAGCUGCUUCCCUGCAAGCAGAGCGAGCCAGAAGCCACUGAUAUGGGAGCCGAGCCAGACUGCUUAUGCAAUUGGAUUAAACUGUUACGAUUUUUGGCGUCAAACAGCAACAUCAAUGCGUUUAAGUUUCGUCUUGUCUUGAAUGAAAAUGUUGGAAAAAUAGUAGCUAACUGUUGAUGUUUAAUAUAUGUAUAUGUAUGAAUAGUUGAAUCUGGGUUGUGCGGCAUUCAGAAUUUAAUUGAGAAUGCUAUUAAAUUUAAUGUUUUUCAUUGAUUUAGUAAUUGAAUUUGGAAUUGAGUUUGAAUUGAGGUAGCAAACAGGAUAUGGAAAUGAAGGUAUGAAUGCAAGGAAGUGAAAUUGAAAUUUUAACUGGAUGGAUGGAUUAUAUUUAAUAAAUAUUUUAUAAUAUGAUGUUUAUAAACCUUUGUGAACCUGGUCGGGAGAACACUCCAUUUGCCAAGAUUCAGUGCUUAUGUUGAAUUUCUUUGAAUUGCAAUUCAGUGAAGUUCACUUCCUGUCAUUCCAAUCUAAUUCAUGUGGGGUGUGACAAAUUUAGUUCAAAUUUCAAAUCAUAAAAUUGAAAGGGAACCAAUUCUAAAUUGAAAUCCCAAUCCUGAUUUCAAUAAAUAAAGCUUUUGACAAAAGACAUGACAUACAAACAUUUAUCCAUAACGGAUGAGUUUGCUGAACUUAACUGAAACUUGUUGUAUUUCUGUAGGUUAAAUUUACUUAAAAUGAUCUACAAGCACUUCUGUGGCAUGUUUGAGCAUUCGGAUCAAAUGUUCAGAAGGUAUGGAAAUUAAAAACGCCACAAAAUGUUAAUUUAUUUUAGUAUUUAGCUCUAGAAUUUUGUUUGAA